GUGAACUUUUCAACAUGCAUGUAUCCUGCCAACCCAUCAGUGAAGCCAGAUCGGGUUCAUUUUUUCUGUUAAUUGCAAAGAAAAUUCCUAUAUGGCCGUGGGUGUGAAUCAGAUCUCUGGCGAAGCUGGUGACCGCAGCGGGGCGAGAAUGAGAAAAGGCGAGGUGGUGUCAACGGCU
rnacentral:lncRNA from 1 species